rnacentral:lncRNA from 8 species
UUUUGAAAUAGAGACAUUUAUAUAAGCAUUGGCAAUAGUCAUUGACUAAUCAAGCAGCGCACUCAUUGAAACAGAGCCGAUGGAGAGCCGACUCCCUGUCGUGACCCAGGAGAGUCAGAGUUUGGAGGAAGACUGAAGUGAAGUCAGGUGGGCACUAGUGAAGUGAUCGAUCUGAUUGGGCAGACUUUUGUCAGUGGUAGCUGGGCAGUGUGAUUAGGGCCAACAGCAAGCAGACCAUGUCAGUGGUAAUGAUGAUAAACCUUGUGAUGGUGGUAAUCACAAAAGAGCUGCCUCCUCAAACACCAAGUCCACUGAGUCAAGAGACACAGGAUGGGUGUUCCCAGAAAAAUAACAAUGGAUUGAGUGAGAGAAGAGCAUCUAAUAAUGAAGGUGACGAUGGUGAUCAAAUGCCACAUAGAAGAAUUGCAAAAGUAAAGCGGAGUCAUGAACUGGAUGUGGAGGAGAACCCUCAGAUGUCUGUAGAGGAAGCCUGGGAUAAACUGGGAUUAAAGCGCAGCCACGACCCCAUGUACGUGAGCAUUACUACAUCACACUUGGGCUACAUCCCAAAUGGAACCCUAUUCUCUAUAUAGUGCACAACUUUUGACCAGGACAAUCUCACAUAAUCAAUCUCUUUUCAUGUUUUGAUGUAUUAGGUUUGAGAGUGUGCUGAAGUUUAAGCCCCAGUCACCACCAGGGUGGGAAGGUUGGGAGGAAUAGGAAGCUACAUGGAGGUAGGAGAGCAUCCGGCCACAUCAACAAGCACACCUUCUUUACUGAAGAGGGAGAUGCCACAGAGCCCAAGCUGAGCAAGACCUUUCAAAAAGUAAGCCUUGUAAACAUUUGACCAAUUAUUCAGAAAUUAUUGUAGCUAGCAAUACCAAUAGUCACCCUCGUUUUUAAUCAAAUCAAAUGUUAUUGGUCACAUACACAUAUUUAGCAGAUGUUAUUGCGGGCGUAGCAAAAUGCCUGUGUUCCUAGCAACAAUGCUCACAAAUCUAAAGUAAACUAAUGGAAUUAAGAAAUAUAUAAAUAUUAGGACGAGCA